rnacentral:lncRNA from 1 species
CAUGAGCUGGGGUAGGGUGGUGCCUAGGAAUGAGAGACCGCUGGAAGGAAGGAUUGGGAGAGAAGAAACAGCCCGUGCUUGACCUCUGAUCAUCUCCUUCCAUUGCUUCUCCCCAAGAGCUGUCACUUUAGACCUUAAUUGGGUGAGAGAACUUGGCAGAGAUUAUCAACAGGAAGUGGAGGCAGAGUAGCCCAGAGUAACCCAGCUGUGGCCAGCAGCGUGGGCUCUUGGGUCUCCUGGACCUUGAUCCGCUGCUCUCCUAUGAGCCAUAUUGUCACUCUCCCUUUGGUGUCCCUUAGGUGCCAAGAAGAAAUAAAUACUCCUCUGCCCUACUAAAAGCAUGUUGCAACUAUAUUAAUUGGAGUGUGUGUCCACAGCAAGGAAUAGCCGACAGGGACACGGCAGAACUGUCCACCAUACACAGUAAAGUCUGUUUCCUUUGAAUGAUUCUGCUCUGUAGGGAUCUCUUCAAUGAUCUCUGUGCUUGGUGAGGCCAGUUUGGUGGAACACUGUCUGGCUUUGAAUUCUUUGCUGAUGACUUUAAUGAAGGUCCACUCACGUUUUUAAAGAGGGGAGGAGGCCUUUGAUGGCAGAGACAUAAACAGGAACAGAACAGACGAGCCACAGUUGGGGAGGUGCAGACUCAUCCAGUGCCUAGAGCAGUUUGCAUGCAUGCCUGGCUGUCCACAGAGGGAACUAGCUGCUCUCCAGCCUGCUUGCUCCACAGACAUAGCCUUAAGCAGCAUGAUGGCAGGUGCAGGUACUGCAUUUGAUAUGAGUGUGAGAGAGCUCACAUGCAGCCCAAAAGCAUCACAAGCAAGCCCGUUUGACAGGGGCUCUUUCUAUAGCCAAGACCCCUGCAGACACCAGUGGCGACUGUGAAUGAGACCCAACUUAGACCUCACGUGCAGCCAGGUGCGUGCUUGGAAACUGGGCGGUCUGGGAGGAGCUCAAGCGAUGCUGCCCUUCAGGGAGCACCAGCCACUGCUCUUUACUGGUAACUGAAGUGGGUCACUAGAAGUUACACUCACUCAAUUCUUGGGAACAUCACUGGAUUUUGAAGCACUUGCAACAUAAGGCAGAAGCUUUCAAUUCAAUGUCCAUACAUAUCUUGAAUGAUAGCCAUGACCUAAAUAGACCGUGACUUCUGAAUACAUGGCUUCCCUCAAAGAAACAGACUGUAUUCUGGGGACAGUGGGUGUGACGGCAUGGAGGUGGGUCCCUACAUAGAAGUGUGAGCUAUUUACAUGUCUUUUUCUUACAACUUUCUAAAGAAUAUAAAUCCCUCUUUAAAAACAAGCCUGGCAAGAAGGUGACUUUGGUAGGAAUUUUGAGCUGUAUGAAAUGUUCGUGUGUGUGUGUGUGUGUGUGUGUGUGUGUGUGUGCACAUGUGCAUGGGCACUGGAGGGGAGGAAGCAUCAGGAAAAACCAGAGAAACAAUUAGGAGGAAUUCAAUUAUAACUUCAUAACCAGGAGUCAUUGAAUAUUUCUGGUGGUGAUAGUGAAUGUUCUGGAAUCUGCUUACAGGACUUUGUGGGGCUUUGGGUUUGUGUGAACUUGUACAGUUCUCUUUGACAGUGUAGCACUUGCUGUGGAGUGGCCUCUGAGUCACAGGGACCCCUGCAGAGGCCCACGUGGACCACAGCGGAGUCCAGGCUUGCCUGCUCUAUCAGAAAGGCAGCAGGACUGAUACCUCGCAGAUGUUAGGGACACGUUGAUGCCUCUCUGUCCUGUACCAGUUUUGAUAAGAAGGCCUGACUGUCACUCCAUUGUGACAGUGAAUGUGACAGCAGGAAGAUGUUUCUUACAUCUCCACAAGAGCUUAAUGCUAACUAUGGAUUGGAUAAGCAAAUUAUUUCAUGAGUCAUUUUUUUUCUUUUUAAAUGCUUUUUUGGAAUAUAAGUAAUAGAUAAUUUUUUU